ACUUGAGCUCUUGACGUAGACACGUGCUCCGCACCGUGGAAGCCUUUCCGGGGGUCCGGCAUAUAGCGACGGAACCCUAUUCCUUGUCGAAGGGCGUUGCUGGGAGUGACUGACGUGUUCAGGCAUGUCUCACCAGUACUCCCCCCUGAAGAGAGCAUGGCAAAACACCCGUGUAGCCUCAGUCUCCCCCCCCCGAGCAAGGUGAUCCGCAUCAAGGCCAAAGCGACAAGAUGGGAUCGAGUCAAUGUGGCCACAGUGACACAAUGACUCCGUUACCCAUGCAUUAUCAGAUGGGUUGAUUCACUUAUUAGAAUCUAGUUCCAGGCCAAUAGAACUACGUGUUUAUAGUCCGACUCUGAUCAGGAGCGACUCUUUCUGUGUUAUCAUCAAGGCCAAAGCGACAAGAUGAAGGGAGAUUAUUAAGGCCAAAGCGACAAAACAACUCCCAUCCAUUAAGGCCAAAGCGACAAAAUGGAGUGACUCAUUAUCAGAGUCUGAUUCUGGCCCAAGCGACAGAAUGCGUGGAUCCUGGCCAAAGCGACAGGAUCUGGUUCAUUAUCAGAACCCAUGUUUAUAGUCCACCCUGAUCAAGAGCGACUUUAUGUCCGCAACGACGGUUACCCCACUAAGGCCAAAGCGACAAAGUGGGUCGAGAUCAUUAAGGCCAAAGCGACAAAAUGAUCUCCAAGUCUAUCAAGGCCAAAGCGACAAGAUAGAAGAAUUAUUGAGGCCAAAGCGACAAAAUAAUUCUUUGGUCCAUUGAGGCCAUAGCGACAAAAUGGACCGACUCGUUUAGAGUCUGAUUCUGGCCGAAGCGACAGAAUGCGUGGAUCCUGGCCGAAGCGACAGGAUCGUUCCUGCAAAACAAAAAUAACCUGCAAAACAACUGUAUCAGUCUAAAGGAUAUAUUUAUUGACUUACUAACCUUGCCGUGAGGGGCUGCUUCUUGUGCCGCUCCUUCCCACGCUCAAUAACUCCUCGAUUGAUCUGGCCGAAGCGACAGAUCUAUCGUGCUCAAUGUUUGACGUCUUCUGGCCAAAGCGACAGAAGUGUUGGGAAGAGUUUGUGAUACUCCCCCCCGAGUUUGACGACUUCUGGCCGAAGCGACAGAAGUGUCAGGAAGAACUUGGGAUACUCCCCCCCGAGUUUGACGACUUCUGGCCGAAGCGACAGAAGUGUCAGGAAGAACUUGGGAUUCUCCCCCUUGAGAUCAUUAAGGCCGAAGCGUUAAAAUGACCUCUGGUCUACUAAGGCCAAAGCGACAAAGUAGACCGACUCCCUAUCAGAGUCUGAUUCUGACCAGAGUUACAGAUCCACUAUCAGGAUCCGAUCCUCGCCUUGGGUGCAGAACCUGUUGAUUCACUAAUAGAAUCUGACUCCUGUCGGGGCUACGAAUUCACUUUUAGAAUCCGAUCCUAACCCGGACUACGGAAUCUA
rnacentral:lncRNA from 1 species